rnacentral:lncRNA from 1 species
AGUAUGUUGUUACAGGGUGGUUAACUUCGCCAGCGGCCCCCUUUCCCGGGGCAGUCCCUGCUCUCCCCUGCUAGAGGGGCACCCUAAUCCGUCACCCCAUCCGACUUCAGAAUGUAUUCGUUGGGUUCGGCAACUCACCACCAGCAUCCAACCAAAUCUAGCGGAUCAACGGCGCAUCAACUUAGUUCCUGGUCAGCUCGCAAGUUGAUAUUAUCACGUCCUACACCGUCCAUAAGAUGGGGGGCCACCUCCCAUUUCAUCACUCCUCAAACACCCGAGGAGCCGGCAGGCGGAG